rnacentral:rRNA from 1 species
AAUGAACGUUGGCGGCGUGGAUUAGGCAUGCAAGUCGAGCGAGAACCCGCAAGGGGGACAGCGGCAAACGGGGUAGUAAUGUGUCGGAACGUGCCCUCUGGACGGGAUAGCGGCGGGAAACUGCCGGUAAUACCCGAUGAACUCGAGAGAGCAAAGGUGUGAUUCCGCCGGAGGAGCGGCCGACAUGGUAUUAGCUAGUUGGCGGGGUAACGGCCCACCAAGGCUGUGAUGCCUAGGGGAUGUGAGAGCAUGAUCCCCACCAUUGGGACUGAGACACUGCCCAGACACCUACGGGUGGCUGCAGUCGAGAAUCUUCGUCAAUGGGCGAAAGCCUGAACGAGCGACGCCGCGUGCGGGAUGAAGGCCCUUGGGUUGUAAACCGCUGUCGAGGGGAUGAAGGCUUGAAGGUACUCCUUCAAGUUUGACAGAGCCAGAAGGAGCACGGGCUAAGUCGUGCCAGCAGCCGCGGUAAU